rnacentral:rRNA from 1 species
UACAGAGGAGCCAAGCGUUGUCCGGAAUCAUUGGGCGUAAAGAGCGCGUAGGCGGUCCGGUAAGUCCGCUGUGAAAGUCAAGGGCUCAACCCUUGAAUGCCGGUGGAUACUGUCGGGCUAGAGUCCGGAAGAGGCGAGUGGAAUUCCUGGUGUAGCGGUGAAAUGCGCAGAUAUCAGGAGGAACACCGAUGGCGAAGGCAGCUCGCUGGGACGGUACUGACGCUGAGGAGCGAAAGCGUGGGGAGCGAACAGG